AUGAACGCCCAGAGCCAGCAGAGGCACGCAUCCUCCUGUGCUGGAGGUCCCCACAAGGAGAUCAAUCCUCCGAGAGUGUUUGAAAGACCAUGUUUGCUGUCUUGGAUACACAUUUCCCAACCACACGUUACAACAUUGAGAGGAUGCCAUUUUGCUUUAACCACAACCAACAGACUUGCAACUAACAGGCAGUGCUUAGGAUGGAAUGAACCCCUUCUAAUGUAUCCCCCCCUUCAACCAGUGUAACCCUAGAAUCUCUGUUUGGAUAGUUAUUUUGAUACUUUGGCUACCUGAUGCGAAGAGCUGACUUAUUGGAAAAGACUGAUGCUGGGAAAGAUUGAGGACAAAAGAAGGGGCGACAGAGGAUGAGAUGGUUGGAUGGCACCAUCGACUCAAUGGACAUGAGUUUGAGUAAACUCUGGGAGAUAGUGAAGGACAGGGAAGCUUGGCAUGCUACAGUUGAUGGGAUCACCAAGAGUCAGACACGACUUAGCGCCUGAACAACAAAAAUUGAGUCUCAUGAAAAAGGGUCAUCUCUGCCUGAACCUCACCCACCCCACAUCCAGCAGUGACAGGCACCUCAAGGUACUUCAUCCUUUUUUAAAGAGUUACAGGUUAAAGGUUUUCCCUAUGUGGAAUUGAAACCAAGUCCAGAAGAACCAGUUUCCCUUACUGUGUUCAUAAUUACUCUCUCCAUCCCAGACUUUAUUCCCUUGCUUGUCUCAUCUGACCACAAUCCCUUUCUUGUCCCUUCUGACCUCAGUCCUUUGGUAGCUGGACACUAAUCAAGCAGUCAGAUGACUGAGAUUGGUGUGGUUGAUACCAUCGUUAAUGUGCUAAAAUUACUAUUAUAGAUAUCACCAUUAACUUACAAACUCAGGUUGUUUCUCCAGGACAAGAUGAGCUCACAGACCACCACCUCCCCUCCACAACAAGCCAUGGACUACCUUCCCAGAGAAUUGUACACGGAAAACUUUCUAGCUUCCGAAACCACAAUCAAGAAAAAAUCAAAGAAAUGUCGCAAAACAAUGAUGAAUCUCAGUUUCUUUGUUAUUCCUCUUUAAAUCAUUCCUAACUCAAAGACAAAAAUGGAACGGAUCUGACACUUACCUCCCACUCAUUGCUUGGGGCCCUCCAAACAAAAAUCCUUCCUUUGCUGCAACACCUGCUGUCAGAUUUUGGCUUUCUGAGCCUCAAGCUCACUCUGUGCAGAAUAAGAAACAGAUUCACCUCCCAACUCUUCAAUUCCUAAACAAAAUGUUCUGAAAUCUGAAAGUUUUAUUAUUAUUUUUUUUUCUGUAGUUCCUUUGACAGCAAACCCUAUGAUGAACUGGUAUGAGGCUAUCUGUAGUCAUUUAUCCUGUCAUAAUGAUUUACAGCAGAAAUAUCAGUGUGUUUGAUUAUGGUACUGCCCCAAGCCCCAAAUCCAUAUGUAUUAUAUAUCAUCCCAAAUACUAAUUGGGAUGAUAUAUAAUAUAUGUUUAUGAUGCUUUUGAACUGUGGUGUUGGAGAAGACUCUUGAGAGUCCCAUGGACUGCAAGGAGAUCCAACCAGUCCAUCCUAAAGGAGACCAGUCCUGGGUGUUCAUUGGAGGGACUGAUGUUGAAGCUGAAACUCCAAUAUUUUGGCCACCUGAUGCAGAGAGCUGACUCAUUUGAAAAGACCCUGAUGCUGGGAAAGAUUGAGGGCAGGAGGAGAAGGGGACGACAGAGGAUGAGAUGGUUGGAUGGCAUCACCUACUCGAUGGACAUGAGUCUGAGUAAACUCCGGGAGUUGGUGAUGGACAGGGAGGCCUGGCGUGCUGCGGUUCAUGGGGUCACAAAGAGUCGGACAUGACUGAGCAACUGAACUGAACUGAUAUGUACCAUAUCACCUUUUCAAACUUUGGAAAAUUACAGAGGGUUUUGGACAAGGAAUUGUGAACCUGUAUCUGUUUCUCCAAAUAGGAUAUUUCGGUCUUCUACAUCCAAUUUAUUUUUUCUAGGUAUUCAAGAUCACUGAUUGAAAAGAGGUGAAUUAAAGUCUCCCACUAUUUGUUUGUCUAUUUUUUCUGUAUCUCCUGUACUUUUAGCUUUAUGAUUAUUGUUCUUUGUUUCUUGGUAGACAGGCAUUCAUAACUGUUAUAUCCUCAUUGUGACUUGCAUCUUUGAAUGUUAUAAAGUGCCUCUCUUCAUCUUCACCUGAUGUGAUAUUGAGAUUAUGACUCGUGCCUUCUUUUCUUUGCAUUUGCCUCAUGCAUAAUUAUACAUUAAUUUUCAGCCUUCUGGGAAACACUUUAUCUUAAAUGGGUCAUUUGCUUGACAACAGCAUAAGGUCAGUUUUGCUGAAAAAUAUAAGCUGAAUUUCUUUUUCUUUUAAUAGCUGAGUUAAGCCUAUUUAGACAUUUAUUGAUAUGUCACAUAUGUUAACCUUAGUUCUAUCACACUAAUACCAUAUUAUACUUUUUAAUUCUAUAGUUUUUCAUAAUCUCUUACCAUGUAGCCUGUGGUCUUGUUGUAAGUUUUGGAAGUUACUUUUAUAAUAAAAACUUUAAUGCCUCCA
ensembl:lncRNA